GUCUUCCUGUGCUGUUGUCUGGUUAAAUGAAAAAUCAAGAGCUACCGAAAGUGUAGCAUACACAGUUGCACACAGUGCAUAAAGCUUGGUAGUAAUGAGAUGGUGUCCCUGGCUUAUAUAUUUAUUGUACUUUUAUGAUUGUUUUAGAGUGUGUUCUUUGUACUUAUAAAAUCUUGUGCCAUGUAUUGAUAGCUCACUCCUGUAAUCCCAACACUACAUAUGUAGAGGCAGGAGCAAUUCAAGUUAAUCCUUAACUACAUAGUAAGUUUUGAAGCUAGUCUUAGUAUGGCCUCCCUAUCUCAAUCUCUACUCUGCAUAAAGUAAUAAAACCUCAAAAGAAAAAAAAAAAAGAAGAAGAAAUGUUAAAUGUUUCCAAGGCUUUCUUCUUUUCUUUUCUUUUCUUUUUUCUUUUCUUUUUUUCCCAUGGAAUCCAUUGUAUAAAAUAUGCACUUGAAGGUUGUUUUGUUUAUUGAUUUUGUUUUUUUUUUUUUUUUUUUUUUGAGACAGAGUCUCACUAUGUAGCCUUUGCUAGCCUGAACUUGACCUGUACACCAGGCUGGCCUUACAGAAAUCAACCUACUUCUGCUUCCCAAGUUCUGGGACUAAACUACCACACCAGAACAAGCACUUGAAGAGUCCUCCUGGUCUCAGGAAGUGAUCCCCUCAGGCUGCUUCACUGCUUCUUGUCUUAUCGCUGUGUUUGAAUCUGGUAGCAUGUCAGCUGGAGCUGGGCAUGAAAGGAAAAGAAGGCACUUUCCAAUUUGCAGCUCCCAGAACCUGCCUUAGUGCCUUCUGUCUUUAGCUGUGUUUUUUUAAAAUAUCUUAUAUUUUAUGUCAGUAUCUCUUACUGUUCCUUUUGAUUUAAUGUUUAGUUUUCAAAAUUUAUAGGAAAAGUGCCUCUACAGUAAAUUCACUUUAUAAUUAGAAACUAGUGGGUCACAUCACACGCUGAUGUUCUCCUUCCCACCUACUCGUUCCUUUUUACUGUGUGUCUGUCUCCUUUUCUGUGCUGAACAAAGCCAUGUGUAAGGCUUUGCUACAGUUACAAACUUAUAUCCAGACCCUAAACUAGCAGCACUUAUAUGUCACUAGUAUUUUAUCUCUAAGUUGCAUGUGCAGUAGACGCCAUGAAGGCCCAUCCACAUCUCAAGUAAGUCUGGAAAUAGAAUGCACCAAUGACAGCGUCAUCACUGAGCAGAUUGUUUCCUUUUUAAAUAAAAUUCUCUCUCUGGAACUUGAUAGGCAAGGACUGAAAUCAUGGGAAGGUACCUCUGGGCACUCAGUGGUGAAAAGUUGUCUGUUGAGCAGGAAGCACAUGGAGGUAGGAAGCCUGAGCUCUGACCUAGAGUUCUCACUCUUCCAUUUAUAAACUCUGUGAGGUUCUUCACCUUGGACCAGUCAUUGGGAUAUCAAAUGUCUGUGGUUUCUAUAGUUUUGGAUUCUAUAUGCACAGAUUUAACCAUCAGUGAUAGAGAUCUAUCAACUUUUCUUUCUUAUCAUUAUUUCCCAAAUAAUAAAAUCUAACAAAUAUUUGCUUAACAUUUACUUUGUAUUAUAUAUUGUAAGUAAUUUACAAAGAAUUGAUGUGUACAGGAGUGCCAUAUAUAAAUACUUCUUCCUCCCUCAGUGCUAGAGAUUGAACUCAGGAUCUUGGUCAAGGUAGGCAAGCAUUCUACCAUAUUCCUCAUUUUCCUGCUGUACCAUUUUAUAUUAGGGAUUUAGCAUCCAUGAAUUUUAUAUUCAAUAGAGGUCCUGGGACCAAUUUUCUAUGGAUACUAAGAUGUCAUUCAGGCUCCUCCUCCCUGAAAUAUCUCAUGAUCAGCCUGUGAUCACAACCAUAGAUCCUAGGAGAGGAUGCCAGAACAGCCAGGAGCAAAAGAAACCUCAGGCAAGCACCAUGAGAACUGACUCCCUGGCAGCUUCAGUGAGACAGCUCAUUUUAGUGUGGGGAGCAAAGGGUAUUUAAACCUUUGAGGGGUGAGUAGGGACCACCAGGCUUAGUGGACAUCAUUGUCAGGGGCCAGGGUGCUGGGGAGGCCUCAUUAACAUUAGUAGGAAUUUCAGGUGCUGCUAGGCAUGACCUUAUAAGGCAACAGGAAAUUAAAGCUAUGUGACCACCCCCACAUAUCUUUGUGAAAACAUUUCCAUUCCAUCUGUCAAAUCAUGGCUAAGAAGUUCCAGGGUUUCCUGCAUUCCAAGAAUGUUGAUAUAUUGUCUUGACCAUUUUGAAGUUGUUAGUGGGUUUGUUUUUUUGUUUUGUUUCCUUUUGUUUAACCCACAGAAGUUUUAUGUCAUUUAGCCUGGUCUAAAAGCUUGGGAUCAGAACUGUUUCUGACUUGUUUUCUGUUUCCUGGUGGUGGUGGUGAUGGUUUUGUCUGUCUUGGUUUGAUUUGGUUUGGAUUAUGUUGACUUAUCAGUUAAACCACCACGAUAGGAAAUUUGAAGUGCUCUGAAACCUUAGGCUAUUGCAAGACUUUUAGCACUUCCUUCUAGGUCCUGAACUUUAAGAAUAGGAAUGCAUACCUAGUUAUUGCAGCUUCAUUUAAAAGCUUUUGAAACCUAAAAACAAUUUUUAUUGUAUUUGGCAGGUUUUUUUU
rnacentral:lncRNA from 1 species